rnacentral:rRNA from 1 species
GACGAACGCUGGCGGCGUGCUUAACACAUGCAAGUCGAACGGAAAGGCCCAGCUUGCUGGGUGCUCGAGUGGCGAACGGGUGAGUAACACGUGGGUGAUCUGCCCCUAACUUCGGGAUAAGCUUGGGAAACUGGGUCUAAUACCGGAUAGGACAAUCGUUUAGUGUCGGUUGUGGAAAGUUUUUUCGGUUAGGGAUGAGCCCGCGGCCUAUCAGCUUGUUGGUGGGGUAAUGGCCUACCAAGGCGUCGACGGGUAGCCGGCCUGAGAGGGUGGACGGCCACAUUGGGGCUGAGAUACGGCCCAGACUCCUACGGGAGGCAGCAGUGGGGAAUAUUGCACAAUGGGCGCAAGCCUGAUGCAGCGACGCCGCGUGGGGGAUGACGGCCUUCGGGUUGUAAACCUCUUUCGACAGGGACGAAGCUUUGGUGACGGUACCUGUAUAAGAAGCACCGGCUAACUACGUG